rnacentral:rRNA from 1 species
GCACAAGCGGCGGAGCAUGCGAUUAAUUCGAUGCAACGCGAAGAACCUUACCAAGGCUUGACAUACACCGGUAACGCCCAGAGAUGGGUGCCCCUUUGUGGUCGGUGUACAGGUGGUGCAUGGUUGUCGUCAGCUCGUGUCGUGAGAUGUUGGGUUAAGUCCCGCAACGAGCGCAACCCUCGUCCUAUGUUGCCAGCGGGUCAUGCCGGGGACUCAUGGGAGACUGCCGGGGUCAACUCGGAGGAAGUGGGGAUGACGUCAAAUCAUCAUGCCCCUUAUGUCUUGGGCUUCACGCAUGCUACAAUGGCCGGUACAAAGGGCUGCGAUACCGCGAGGUGGAGCGAAUCCCAGAAAGCCGGUCUCAGUUCGGAUUGGGGUCUGCAACUCGACCCCAUGAAGUCGGAGUCGCUAGUAAUCGCAGAUCAGCAACGCUGCGGUGAAUACGUUCCCGGGCCUU